rnacentral:rRNA from 1 species
UACGUAGGGUGCAAGCGUUGUCCGGAAUUAUUGGGCGUAAAGAGCUUGUAGGCGGGUUGUCGCGUCUGCUGUGAAAUUUCGGGGCUCAACCCCGAACUUGCAGUGGGUACGGGCAGACUAGAGUGUGGUAGGGGAGACUGGAAUUCCUGGUGUAGCGGUGAAAUGCGCAGAUAUCAGGAGGAACACCGAUGGCGAAGGCAGGUCUCUGGGCCACUACUGACGCUGAGAAGCGAAAGCAUGGGGAGCGAACAGG